CAAAAGGCUGCUUGUGCAGUGUAUGUUCCUUUUUGUGUGCCUGUGGACUUUGGUGGGUCUCCAUCACACAUAUGCUUGUCGAUCCACGAGCCUGACAUUCAUAAUUUUUGCAGACUUGGGAGGAUAAUCUUCACUUAUAACACCCAAAGGAACACCUGGCAUUGUCCCUGCACAAAGCCACGGACAUCUUGUCCACACAUACACAUAUCAAUGUGGCAUCUUUUCCAAACCCAAAGAGACCUCUUCAAGUCAGAGGUGCCCACAACACCAAGCUCAGAUCCUUGUAGUCUUCUGGACACCACUGGUAUGAAGAGAAGUGUGCAGUACAUUUUCAAAGAGAAAAAAAUUCCAGAAGCGCUACUAAAAGAAGUUACAACAUCGAGAAUGAAGAUGGAAUACCCAAAGAAAUUCUUUCCUCUUCAGACAACAUGCCAGUUAUGCACUGGACAUCCUGCACUUGCAGAGGCUGUGCUAGUUAGAAAGAAAGCUAAGAUUGUCAGCAUGAUGGGCUUGAUAGACUGCAUUUCUACAUACCAUAGGAUAUGUCCACAGUGCAACAUGGUGUAUAGGUACCAGGAGUGGAAAGAUGGCCUUCACAACUUUGAUAACCACAUUUUUCUCACCCUUGAACUUUGUGUGUUUCUCAGAGAAAAUGUUACCAUGAUGACCUCAAUGCACCCCCUGAUGACUUCAACGGUGAACAUGACAUUGAGACUUUUUGGAAUUCUGUUCAUCUUGCGAUAAUAAGUCGUGGCUUUUUUCAAAGCAGUGCAGACCACCCUUUCACUGUCAGUCCAAGCUACGUACACUGGGCACCCUGGAUUGGGAGUGAAACACGUCGAAGUGGCACUGUUCUUAACACAGAGUUAAAGAAAGUGAGAACACGCCCCUCUUUAGCUGAAGCACA